GACGAACGCUGGUGGCGUGCCUAAUACAUGCCAGUAGAACGCACAGUUUAUACCGUAGCUUGCUACACCAUAAACUGUGAGUUGCGAACGGGUGAGUAACGCGUAGGUAACCUGCCUGGUAGCGGGGGAUAACUAUUGGAAACGAUAGCUAAUACCGCAUAAUAUUGAUUAUUGCAUGAUAAUUGAUUGAAGGAUGCUAUUGCAUCACUACCAGAUGGACCUGCGUUGUAUUAGCUAGUAGGUGAGGUAACGGCUCACCUAGGCGACGAUACAUAGCCGACCUGAGAGGGUGAUCGGCCACACUGGGACUGAGACACGGCCCAGACUCCUACGGGAGGCAGCAGUAGGGAAUCUUCGGCAAUGGACGAAAGUCUGACCGAGCAACGCCGCGUGAGUGAAGAAGGUUUUCGGAUCGUAAAGCUCUGUUGUAAGAGAAGAACGGGUGUGAGAGUGGAAAGUUCACACUGUGACGGUAUCUUACCAGAAAGGGACGGCUAACUACGUG
rnacentral:rRNA from 1 species